rnacentral:rRNA from 1 species
GACGAACGCUGGCGGCGUGCUUAACACAUGCAAGUCGAACGAAGUGGCGAACGGGUGAGUAACGCGUAAUCAACCUGCCCUUCAGAGGGGGACAACAGUUGGAAACGACUGCUAAUACCGCAUACUGCUGGUGGGGAUUGCGUCUGAUUAGCUAGUUGGAGGGGUAACGGCCCACCAAGGCGCUGGUCAGUAGCAGGGAUGAGAGGUUGAACGGCCAACAUGGGACUGACACACGGCCCAGACUCCGACGGGAGGCAGCAGUGGGGAAUCUUCCGCAAUGGGCGAAAGUCUGACGGAGCAACGCCGCGUGAGUGAUGACGGCCUUCGGGUUGUAAAGCUCUGUUAAUCGGGACGCGGUACCGGAAGAGAAAGCCACGGCUAACUACGUGCCAGCAGCCGCGGUAAUUG